UAUUCAAGAGCAGCGUUUCUAGUAAAUAGCUCGAAUUUUACAGCCAGUUUCUAAACGAACGAGAUUUUGUUGUCUCUAUCGGACGAACUGCUAGCGAUUGACAAUGAUGCCUCAGCUGAAAUACACAGAUUAAUACAGGAGGACUGGGACAAGGAGUACGCCGAAUGCGCUAGUGGUAAACAGCGGGGUUACUGCGAACUCUUCCCAACAACGCUAAACAAACCUUGGUUUAACAACUUGAACUGCAACCUCAGACCUUCGGGUAUAAAAAUCAUAAACAGAUUAAUGAGCGGUAACGCUUUUGACAAUUAUACUCUAAACAAAAUGCACGUAGUAAACAACAACAGAUGUGCCAGUUGCAACGAUUUCGAUAACGCAUCGCACAUCAUAUUCAGCUGUUCCAAAUACAACUCUGCAAGACAGCAGCAUCACUCGCCGCAGUCACUUUGGUAGAAUUUUGGCCGGAGCCGGAGCGCAGUUUGAACAGGCGCAUCCCUCUCCACAGUAUCGUCAGCUGGAUCUGGGCAGGAGCAUGGAACGAAGUUUUGGCUGUCUCCUCCCUCGCCGCAGUCGCAAUAGCAGGGAUUUGUCCAGGAGCCGGAAAUCGUUUGAGGCAG